AUUGGAUGGCCUGGGUGUAUCUAAAAAAUUUUUUAUAAUUCAUUAUCAUAAUAUUUUUUUCAUCUAAAAUGCAAUAGAAUAGGGAUCUAAAAGAUUGCUUGGAUUGUUCCAAUCUAAUACAUAGAUACUGUGCUGAAAUGGUUUAGCAUAGAAAAUUCCAAGAAAAGCUAUAUCUUGAUAAACCAUCGAAUUACUCUCUCUAAGAAUAAUUGUCGAUAUCUCCUCAAUAGAUAGAGCAUAUGUGUAGAGUCUCAUGUACUACAAUAGUGGGAUCUAUCAUGUA
rnacentral:lncRNA from 1 species